rnacentral:rRNA from 1 species
GACGAACGCUGGCGGCGUGCUUAACACAUGCAAGUCGAACGGAAAGGCCCUGCUUUUGUGGGGUGCUCGAGUGGCGAACGGGUGAGUAACACGUGAGUAACCUGCCCUUGACUUUGGGAUAACUUCAGGAAACUGGGGCUAAUACCGGAUAGGAGCUCCUGCUGCAUGGUGGGGGUUGGAAAGUUUCGGCGGUUGGGGAUGGACUCGCGGCUUAUCAGCUUGUUGGUGGGGUAGUGGCUUACCAAGGCUUUGAAGGGUAGCCGGCCUGAGAGGGUGACCGGCCACAUUGGGACUGAGAUACGGCCCAGAGUCCUACGGGAGGCAGCAGGGGGGAAUAUUGCACAAUGGGCGGAAGCCUGAUGCAGCAACGCCGCGUGCGGGAUGACGGCCUUCGGGUUGUAAACCGCUUUCGCCUGUGACGAAGCGUGAGUGACGGUAAUGGGUAAAGAAGCACCGGCUAACUACGUG